UUAGUGAUGUUGAACAUUGUGGU
rnacentral:siRNA from 1 species